rnacentral:rRNA from 1 species
CGUCUCGUAGUGACCUGCGGAGGGACAUUACCGAGAGAGGGCGCCUCGCGCGCCCGACCUCCCAACCCUUUGUCGACCGUACUGCGUUGCCUCUGGGUGCCGGCGCCCGCGUCGCCCCAAGAGGACCCAACCGAAACCCUGCGUCUUUGCGUCGGAGUCACUUUGAUAAAUCAAUCAAAACUUUCAACAACGGAUCUCUUGGUUCUGGCAUCGAUGAAGAACGCAGCGAAAUGCGAUAAGUAAUGUGAAUUGCAGAAUUCAGUGAAUCAUCGAAUCUUUGAACGCACACUGCGCCCCUUGGUAUUCCGGGGGGCAUGCCCGUUCGAGCGUCAUUUCACCAAUCAAGCCUGGCUUGGUAUUGGGCACCGGGGGCGACCCGGGCCCGAAAGUCGCCGGCUGGAAAGCUCUGAUCUCAGCGUCGUGGUUUUACAAACUCGCCGGCGAGAGGGGCGGUCUGUGCCGUGAAAUCUUUUUAAGGUUGACCUCGGAUCGGGUAGGAAUACCCGCUGAACUUAAGCAUAUCAUAAGCCCGGAGGACCCGCGGGUGCGGUGCGCCAAUAAUUAAGAGUAAGAUUGGGGCAAGGCGGCCGGGGGGUCCGGGGAGAAGUCGUGGGAAGGGGGCGAAUUCUCGGGGAAGCGCGAGGACGCAAGGCGGACUGGGAGUUCGAGCAACAACGCAGUGGGAAAACACGGCGACGGUAGGGCCAAUUAUACGAUAUUGUGAUUGAGGGAGGAUAGGCACCGGGGACCCUUAUUACGCUUUAUCCCUGCGAGCAAAAGGGAGGCGGGAGGUGUUCAUAACAAGAAGUGCAGAUGUU